AGGGCGCGCUCCCGGGCGGGUGCGGGCGCGCGCAUCCCCUAUUCUGUGGGCUGCUCUCAGCAGGCCUGGCCUCCCACGUCCGGAUCAGCACCUGAGCGUCUUUCCCUGAAGCUACUGCCGUUGGCUGCGUCUUCACCCCGCCCUUCUCUGUAAGGUGAAGACCUGGAGGGGGUGAUUCCUAUUACAGGUGAAGGAGAGAGGAGCCCUGAGAAUGGGUGAAGAACCAAGUAAUUGCCAUUGCCGUCACCAGCCAGAAAGCCUGGCUGCUGCUCACUUUAUACACGGUUCCUUGCUCUCAAGUCCCGUCUUCCCUCAGCUUUCUGGAUUCUAAGUUUAGUUCACUUAAAGUUAUCUCAUCUAGUCAGUCCUUUUGUCGGACGAACCCCACCGAAAACAAAAUGGCUGAAGAUGCCCUGGCUCAAUUGAAAAUCAGGACGAUGACAUUAAGAAAAAUCAGCCUCAAGAAUGUGCUGUAUUUGUGUACAGUUCUAGACUGAAAGCCGGGCGUGCAGAGGCGGUAUGAGUUAAUAAUGUGUUGUGACUCCUUUUUUCUCUCCCAUCCCCUCUCUCGUAAGGAAUGUGUCUUGACGCCUCAUAGAACCAUGUUUCGUAGAGAGGCAGCCAGUAGUGACCCAUUUAUACACUGUGCUGGCCAAACUACUUCCGGAGCUCUACGUUCACCUCUAGAUCAAGCACUUGAAGAAGACCUCAAAGAAGCUGGAAUUAUUUCACAGAAGAGCAAAAUGAUGAACUGUACUCAAAAGCAUGACAAAUGAUGGAGUACUGUUUGAACUUGGGAAGAUUCUCAUAGAAGAGCGAAAGCUACUGGGACUGUCUCCAAAUAUGUGAAAACUCUUCAUGUGACAUAGAUUUGUUUCAUGUGGUCUUAAGAGAUGCCGACUUGAGAGAGACAGAUUUCAGAUCCUGAAAAGAUCUCUUUCUAGCACUUGCCAGAGAAGGUAUCUGCUUUAGGUUACAUGGAAGCCUUGACCACUGGAUUUGACUUGAAGUAGAUUGUGAAGGCUUUCUGAAUAGGUGCAGGGGAACCAGGUGUCAAGAGAAGAAUUAGUUGAUGGUUUUGUUAAAGGUAUUUACAGCCCUGGGAGUCAAUCAGCUCAUGGUUCCAGCCUUAAAAGAAUUUUCAGGUUAGCGAUAAGACAAGACAAAUGUAUCAAAAGUCCCUGGAGGAUUUUCCAAAACAUUAAUGGAAAGACAGUCUGAUGACAAGAUUCCUCAAGAAGAGGAGGAGGACUGUCCAUAAAACAUGCCAUGAACAAAGACAAGGACACAAGAGUGCGGAUGCAUUCUAUGUUCCUGUGCUGGAUACAUUAGCCCCAUCUUUUGGCAAGAUGUGGAAUUUCACAAAGGAGGACUUGACCUGGGACUGCUGACAAGAGUCAAGGGUUACCUCGUUCCCUUCUUUCUUGGUUAUCAUCUAGAGUUCUAGUAUUUUCUAGACCAGAGGAAGGAACUCGUUUUGGUUACAGCUCUGUCUGUUGGUGUUUAUGUUGCUAUUAUGCAGAAGAAAGAUGGAAAAAUAGGGACAGAUAAUUAAUUUUAGAACAUUAGUACUUAAAAUAUAUAUCUAAGGUUGCCUAAAAAUAAGUUUUUCCUUAAAAAUGUGAUGUGGAUUUCAUCAAUUGCAUCAUUUUAAAAUUUAAAAUCUAGGUGCAAUCAAUGUACAAUGAUUAAAAAUUGUCUUUGCUUGAACAUAAAGCCUCAGAGUUACACAACUCUGAACAGACCUGGUUAUAUAACAACCACUAAAGUGAACUUUAGAAAAUAAAUUCUGACAUAUACGCUGUAUGGGAGAAUUUCUCCUUGUAAGCUUUCACAAAGACAAGAAAUUAUGAAUAUAUAAACUGUAUAAUUAUAGUGUUUCCUUUUGUAAAAGCAGAAAGAGUAGAAUAUCCUCUCAUAAUGUGAGACUCUGAAAAUAAACAACCAUAUCCUAGGUGUAUGGAGACCACCUUCCACAGAAAUGAAUGGGGGUUACCAAUGCCCACAGCUGAUGUAAGUCCCAGAAGCCAUCUUUUUCUCUUCAGCCAUCUUCUAACCUAAAUGAACCACACUCAACUUCCCACACUUAUCUGAGGAAGCCAACAUCUAAGAUAUUACUUUUAUUCAGUUACUUAUGUUUUAAAAGUGUUAAAGCAGGAAUUUAUUAAAAUCCAUUUAUAUAAAAUUCGUUUAUAUGUUUUACAGACAAAAAAUGUACAUAGUCCUCAAUAUUCAAGCAAUCAAAUCCAUUCUCAGAAGUGCUUUAGAGGAAGAGAGACUUCUUUGCCCACCCCCCAAAAAGAUGCUUUUGUUUAUACUCCUUUGAGUACCAAGGCCUUAGAGUUUUGGCUUCUUAGUUGUGCUAUUCAAAGACCUAAUUGAACAUACCCGUUUUCAUUUCUUAUAUCUCCACGUGGCCACCAUUUAUAUUUCUUAGAAAAAAUUAUGUUGUUUCCUGUCUGAUGACUUUUUUUAAAACUGAUGUUUUAGAUACAGUUAAACUGGAAUCUUUUUUCACCCCCUUUAAGAUUACUUCAGCUCCAGAAAGCAACCUGUACAUUCACAAAUUGGGCAAAAUAUUUUGUAUUUGUUUCCUGUGGCUGUUGUAACAAAUUACCACAAACUGGGUGACUUAAAACAACAGGUAUUUUUUUCUCUCACAGUUCCGGGGGCCAGAAAUCUAAACUCAAGGUGUCGACAGAAGCUGUGCUCCCUCCAGUGGCUUUGCGAGAAAGUCUGUUCCUUGUCUCUUCCACCUGCUGGUGGCUCCAGGUGUUCCUUGGCUUGUGGCCUCAUGGCUCCAGUCUCAUUGCCUCCCCCUCUUAGGUCUCAGAACUCUCUCUGCCUCAUGUCUAUAAGAAUGCAUGUGAUUGCAUUUAGGGCCCAUGCAGAUAUUCCAUGCAUGGGCCCUACAUCCUUGAUUUCAUCACAUCUUUUGCUGUAUAAGGCAGUAUCCCCAGGUUCUGAGGAUUAGGAUGUGGACAUGUCUUUUGGGGUAGUCUCUAUUCAACCUACUACAUGCCCCUUUUUUAGAGCACAUGGCAUCCUGUGAAUAAUAGCUACUAUUUAGUGGAGAUUUGUUAUGUGUCAGCCUAGUAGCCUUUUACCUAUGUAAUAAAAAUAUGACUGUAUUUUUAUUUGAGCAGCCUCUUCCCUUGCACCCAGCCCACUAUGAGAACAGACUCAGCACUUCUUCUGGCAUUUCCUGAAAAAGCAAGUCCAACUUCAAAAACAUUGGCUAGUAAUGUAAAUGUUAUGAAGUUUUCUUUGGGAAAUGUACCUUGCACACAACAGAGCAAAUUUUAAGCCACCUUCUUAAUUAGAUAAUUUUUAUCUCUUUCAAAAUCUCAUUCUGCCUCCAUACAGACUCUAGAUCUUGUCUGCAUCUCUCCCUUUGCCUACAUUGAUUCCCAGUUCCUUUAUUGUAAUGGGGCAUUUUGUUCAGGACUUCUCAGUAAAACAAAAUUAUUAAAGCUAUAAGCUUUACUUCAUUUCUUUAAAGUCCUUCAUUUGUUAUAAUCAUCAACAACAACCCUAGGAAGUAAGAUUUUAUAGAGAUAUAAUAAUAACUUAUCCAAUGUCAUAUAUUAGUAAAUAGUAGUCUAGAUUCAAAUCCAGAUCUUCUGCUGCUGAAGUCUAUGAUUUUAACCAUUAUUGAAAUAAUGGUUAAUUUUGACAUUGUAUUGAAACAUCUAUUCUGCACUUGGCUUCUAGACAAAUGUUUCCAAAGAGAAAUCUCUCACUCGGGAUCCCCUAGAAGAACUAAUGGAUCAGAACCUCUGGGAACAGAGCCAGGUCCUACAUUUUUAACAACCUCUUGGGCGGUUCUUAUGCAGUCACUUCAAGAAUAAAGCCUGUGGUUGAUUUCUCUUUGUGGUUAUUUAUCUUGUCAUUAGUUACUUAAAUAGUGCCAAGUUCAGAGCAAGAAUAAAAGUAAAAAACUCUGCUCACAUGCUCUGGAUAAGGAAACAAUACUUUUCAGUAAUUGCUGCCUCCACAGGAGAAAAAUCAGCACUAAAUUGACAGUGUGAGGCCUCCUAAACUGUGGACUAUGUCAUAACUCAAGAAAUAACACAUUUCAUUAAGAAAGAACCUGACGAAACAACUGAGUGAAGCAUCACAGGUUCAGGCUCUUCCCACCUCCAUAUUCCUUCCUCCACCAGCCUAAAAACCAGAUCUAAUUAUAUUUCUUCCUUUGGGGUUCAGAAAGAGUAUGGGCAGACCAUCAGACCUGAUGGUAAUAUUACCUAAUGGUAAUGUUACAGUAAUAUUGUAUUACAUUUCGAGAUCUUUAUUUCGAUUCAUUGUUUUGUUACAAAAGAUAAGUCUCCAAAAAAAUUUUACCAAUAAGGUACAUGGAUGUCAUAUUUUUCUGAACCCUUGAAUUUCUCAGAUGUUUUUUAGUUGCUUUCAAAUGACAGACAGCAUUCCCAGAUUUUAGUCAUUGGUUUUAAAAAAAAAAAGGUUUGUUUACUCAAAACUUAAAAUGUUUCGCUAUCUACUAACAUUUAUUGUUUAGCAGAGGAAACUGGAGCAAUGCAAUUGCCCCUGUCUUGCAAAGCAGUUUUCCUCAUAUGGUAUUUAUAUAAAGAUUUUCCUUUAAUAAAUUUUUUUUCUAUAAUAAAUCUACAUGCAAAUUUCUUUUGGAUUUUUCCUAAGAAAGCUCUGAGCAUUUCUCAUCCAUAUACUCACAUCUUAGGGGAUUCUUUCUUGAGCUAUGUCUUCAAUUAUUAUUCAAAUUAUUCUAAUUUCUUAAUUGAAAAAAUCUAAAGUUCUUAUAUUGCAUUUUUAUUCUCUUUCAAAUUUAUCAACUUCUUUACAGUUUUAAAAAAAAUCUAUCCAUCUAUCUAUGUACUUGUGUGUGUGUGUGUGUAUGUGUGUGUAUACACAUAUGUAUAUAACUGGAAGAGGUUGGACAUUCAGUAGUUCUUUUUCUGCUCUGUACUGUGCAUGUUAAUGUUUCUGUUAUAUUAUUUAUUCCUUUGCAUUGUUUCUUUAUUUUACCGAUUUCAUCUUAUUCUCUUCUUGUUUUAAUGUCACCCUGUUUUCUCCUAAUGGUCUACUCUUCUUUGAUAUAGGUCAGAGACUUGCCAGACUGAGUAUGUCAACUGCUUUUCUAAAAUCAUUCAGUUUCCUUGAUGAAGGUGCCAAGAAAAUUCAAUAGGAAAGAGUCUCUUCAGCAAAUAGUGCUGAGACAAUUGAAUAUCCAUGCAAAAAAGAUGACACUGAACUUCUGUGUCACACUAUACACAAAAAUUAACUGGAAAUGGAUCACAGACCUAACCUAAAUGUAAAAGCUAAUACUAUGAAACUCCUAGAAGAAAGUAUAUGGGAUAAUCUUUGUGAUUUCUUGGAUGUGACAGAAAAAUACAAAUGAUAAAAAAAAAAUAGGUAAAUUGGACUUAAAACUAAAAACUUCUGCAUCAGAAAGUAAAAAACAAAAAACAAUUCAUAGAAUGGGAGAAAAUAUUUGCCGAUCAUAUAUCUAAUGAGACAUAUCCAGAAUAGAUAAUUAACCCUUACAACUCAAUAGUAAAAAGAUAGAUAAUCUAAUUAAAAUGGGCAAAGGCUCUGAACAGACAUUUCUCCAAAGAAGAUGCACAAAUGGCCAAUAAACACAUGAAAAAAAAUCAUAAGCUAUCAGGGAAAUGCAAGUCAAUAUGACAAUGCAAUACCAUUUCUCAUCCACUAGAAUGGCCACAACAAGGAAAGUAGGAUAAUAACAAGUGUUGGAAGAUGUGGAGAAAUUGAAACCUUCAUACACUGCUGGUGGGAAUGUAAAAUAAUGCAGCUGUUUUGGAAACAGUUUGGCAGUUCCUCAAAAAGUUAAGCAUUGAGUUAACAUGUGAUCCAACAAUUCCACUCCUAGAUAUCUACCUAAGAGAAAUGAAAAGUAAAUAUGUCCACAUAAAGACUUGUAUAUGAAUGUUUAAGCAGCAUUAUUCACAAUAACCAAAAAAUGGAAGCAACUCAAAUGUUCAUCAGCUGGUAACUGUAGAUAAAAUACGAUGGAAUACUCUUCAAUAGUAACAGGCAAUAAAAGAAGAACAAAGACUUGUUGCUACAUGAUACAACACGCUUGCCCAAGGCUGGGGGCAGCGGGCUGGGGAUGGGAAAUGACUGUAUAUGGGCAUAUGGUUUUUUUAAAUAAUGAUGGAAAUGUUCUAAAAUUAGAUUGUGGUGAUGGUUGUAUAUGUAAACAUAAAACCUUAUUCAUUCAAUUAUUUCAAUGAAUUUUAUGAUAUGUAAAUUGCAUUUUAACAAAACUAUUAAAAUCACCUGUUCUUUUAUAUGUAAUAAAUAA